rnacentral:rRNA from 1 species
UACGUAGGGUGCGAGCGUUGUCCGGAAUUACUGGGCGUAAAGAGCUCGUAGGUGGUUUGUCGCGUUGUUCGUGAAAACCGGGGGCUUAACCCUCGGCGUGCGGGCGAUACGGGCAGACUUGAGUACUGCAGGGGAGACUGGAAUUCCUGGUGUAGCGGUGGAAUGCGCAGAUAUCAGGAGGAACACCGGUGGCGAAGGCGGGUCUCUGGGCAGUAACUGACGCUGAGGAGCGAAAGCGUGGGGAGCGAACGGG